GCGGCCACCCGCAAGCCAGGAGGGAGCCUCACAGGAACCCAGAUGGGCUGGAACCUUUGCUUUGUUCUUUGAACCUCCAGGACUGUGAGAAAUUAAGUUCAUUGUUGAAGCCACCUGUCUGUGGCGGUUUUCUUACGGCAGCCCAAGCUGACUAAGGCGAGGGGUGAGUGGCUGCUGGGACGUGCUGAGGGGUCCCUGAAGCAGGGCAGGAAGGGCAGAGCUAGCUGCAGCUGAGGCAGAGUCCGAGUCCCGCUCUGCAUGGAGGAGGAGAGCCUCCUGAUUACAUUGGUCUUACCUGGAUAAUCCAAGACACUCUCCCCAUCUGAAGAUCCCUCAUCAAAUGGCAUCUGCACAGCCCCUUUUGCCAGGAGCAGAUCCGCCGCUCGAAACAGCUGACCCAGCGACGACUGCGGAACCACUAGCAGCGUCUGCACAGAUCGACCCCGCCAUCCCGCCGUCCCGUUCGGUGACCGGAGACGCAGCCGGGAACGCGACUGAUCAGGCUACCGAGCCGGGCCGCAGGGCGAAAGCGGUGCGGUCCGAGGCCUCAGAAAGGGACACGCAGCAGCGGCAGUGGCGCUGACUCAGCCCGGCCUCCCUGCAGUCCCCUCAAAUACAAAGACUUCUCCGCAAAUGUUUAUAGCAGCUUUAUUUGUAAUAGCCAAAAACUGAUCACAAUCCAAAUGUCCACCAACAGAUCAAAGGAGAAGCGAAUUGUGAUCUGUCCAUAUGAGGGGCUUGGUGCCUGCAGCAACAUGGGUGAAUCUCCAGGUAGUGGUGACGAGUUGAAGGAGCCAGUCAAAAAAGAACGUGCUGUGUGAUUCCAUUUAUAGAAAACUCUAGAAAAUGUGGACUAAUCUAGAGUGAGGGAAAGCAGACCCGUGAUUGCGCCUGGGGCAAGGAGACUUGGGGGUGGAGGGGGGGCCAGAGGGAGGGGUUUCAAAGAUGAUAAAGACAUUUUGAGGGUGAUGGAUAUGAUCCCUCUCUUAAUAGUGGCGAUGGCUUCAUGGAUAGAUACAAAUGUCAAGACAUAUUGAACUGUAUACUUUAAAUGCUUGCGCUUUACUACGUGCCAAUCACAUCUUCAUAAGGCUGUUUUUUGUUUUUUUGUUUGUUUUUUUUUUUUAAAAAAAAAGGCCUCGUAAUGGAGAUGAGUACAGCCUGGCCUCAGUCUCCCCACCUGCAAUGUGGGGGAUCCCCGUGUGCCUUGCACCACCUGAGAGCUCCAGGCUUAGGAGGAGACCGAGGUGAGCCCUGUUUCUAGCCAGAAACCCCAAGGCCCUAACCCCCAGGGCUGGGCAGCUGCAGGGCCCAGGCUACUGCCCCUCCGGGGAUGGACGGUGCGAGGCCACUCCAGGGGCAUGACCUGUUUUGGGCAGGCGGUGGCUGUGGGGAGAAGAGUGGGGAGGUCCCUUUCUUUUUUCUUCCUGAAUAAAAAAAUGCAUGAUGCUA
rnacentral:lncRNA from 1 species